UGUUAAUUGCUCAUAGCAGUGAACAAAAUUAAUCAUUCCAAUUACAGUCAAAUAAAGAUAACGGACCUCAAAUUGUUAGAACUCCGGACAGAAUUCGAAACGGAAACCUUGGACAACGUUGAAAUGAAGAACUGGACCACAACCGGAGACUCGACGGACCCUUAUUUGGCUGAGAAAUCUCGAACCCCAACUCGGAAACUCCAACUAAACAUCAUUAGGAAAGAAUUCGAUUUUUGUUUUCACUGAAUUUUAGUGUGAGUUUGGAUUGA
rnacentral:lncRNA from 1 species